GUUCUGAGGAGCUGGAGGCCCCGCUGGAGGCCCCGGCCUCCGCCUCCUCCUCGCUGUCGUCCGCCUCCGGUCCGACACGGCGCGGCGCCCCGGCGGGGCGGAGGAAGCGCGGCCCGCGGCGGAGCACCGGCGAGGUGCCAGAACCUAAAGCCCAUGAGGGUUUCAUUAUCAGCACACUUUAAAGGCUCUUAAGUAUGCAAAACUCCGAUCAGAACUUCAGGACAUCUUGAGCUCACACCUCUACCUGCAACCCAUUGCAUCAGUCAGCCUUGUUAACAGCUGCCCAGGACUGCGUUCUCUGGGCAUGAGCAACUUUGUCUCAGUACUACCAUCGGGGAGGAGGUACAGGAGCCUGAAGACCCACACUCAACAAUUCAGGAACAGCUUCUUCACCUCCGCCAUCAGAUUUCUGAACGGUCCAUAAACCCAUGAACCACACCUCAUUAUUCCUUUUUUUUGCAUUAUUUAUUUAUUUUUGUAACUUAUAGUAAUUUUUAUGUCUUUGCACUGUACUGCUGCCGCAAAACAACAAAUUUCAUGUCAAAUAAGUCAGCGAUAAUAAAUCUAAUUCUGACCUGUGUAGGACCUUAUCAAAAGCCUCCCAAAUGUCCAAACAUCCCGUAUCCACUGGUUCCCCCUCAUCUUCGCUGCUAGACAUACAGCAUCUUCAAAGAACUCCAAUGGAUUGGUCAAACAUGAUUUUCCUUUGUCGUUCUUGAUGUCACAUCCUUCAUUACAGAUUCCAGGCUAACAGGUCAGUGUUUCCCUAUUUUUCCUCCUCCUCCUUUCCUACAUGCUUUGAUUGCAUCAGCUACCUGCCAAUCUAUUGGAACAGUUCCAGAAUCUGUGGAACUUUGGAAGAUCGACAACCAGAGCAUCCACUAUCUACAGGAUUAGGAGGUUAAGGAGGCUUGGCCUGUCACCGAACAUUCUAAAAACUUCUACAGAUGUACUGUUGAAGGUGUCCUGACUGGUUGUAUCACGGUCUGGGAUGGCAAUUAAAAUGCACAGGAACAUAAGAAGCUGCAGAGAGUAGUGGACUCUGCUCAAUACCUCAUAGGCACAUCCCUCCCCACCAUCAGUAGUAUCUACAGGAGGCGCUGCCUCAAGAAGGCAACAUCCAUCAUCAAAGAUCCCCACCAUCCGGGCCAUGCCAUCUUCUCAUAGCUCCCAUUGGGCAGGAGGUACAGAAGCCUGAAGUCCCACAUCACCAGGUUCAGGAACAGCGACUUCCCUUCAACCAUUCUGUUCUUGAACCAACCGGCACAACCCUAAUCACUGCAGUUUAGCAACACUAUGUCCACUUUGAUCACUUUGCCCUAAAAUGGACUUCUUUGUUCUGUGUUCUUUCUUGUAAAAAUUGUGUUUAAUCUAUGUUUAAUUUAUGUUUUUCUUGUGAAUUCUGCUUAUCUGAUGCUAUGUGCCUGUGAUGCUUGGCAAGUAAGUUUUUCAUUUCACUUGUGCAUACAUGUACUUGUGCAUAUAAGGUAAGAUAAGAUUUCUUUAUUAGUCACAUGUACAUCAAAACACACAGUGAAAUGCAUCUUUUGCAUAGAGUGUUCUGGGGGCAGCCCGCAAGUGUUGCCACACUUCUGGUGCCAACAUAGCCUGCCCAAAACUUCCUAACCCGUACGUCUUUGGAAUGUGGGAGGAAACCGGAGCACCUGGAGGAAACCCACGCAGACACGGGUUUAAACUUGAAAUUGACUCGACUUUGACUACACAGCGACCUCCUUCAAAACUUGGAUGCAGAUCAUCGAGUCCUUGAGAUUUUUCUGUUUUCCAGUUUAUUAACUUCUCAAGUUGUAGUUCAUCAUUAGUACUAAUUCCUCCUUUGCUUUGGAACCCUGCUUCUCGGUAUUUCUGGGAAGAAUUUUUGUCUUCAGUGAAGAUAAUUACAAACUAUUUGUCUAAUUCCUCUUCCCCAUUAUAAAUUCUAACCUCUCUGUCUGUAGGGGAUCCACUUUUGCUCUCACUAGUCCUUCUAACAUAUUUUUUGCCACCCACACACCAGGGUCAACUUACAGUGGCCAAUUAACUGACUGACCCGCACGUCUUUGGGAUUUGGGAGGAGACUGGAUUCCUUCCCAGUCACAGGGAGAACCUGCAAACUCCACACAGACAGCACCGGAGAUCAGGAUUGAACCCGGGUCCAUGGAGAUGUGAGGGAGCAGCACUACCUGCUAAGUCAUUUUGUUGCCCUCUGUACAAAAGGACCAUCCUUUAAGCUACACAAUCACUCUGGGACACCAGCCUCCCCUCCUUGGACUCUGUCUUUACUUCUCGUUGUCUUGGUGAAGCAGCCAGCAUAAUCAAAAACCCCACUCACCUGGGUCAUUCUCUCUUCUCUCCUCUUCCAUCGAGUAGAAGAUACAGGAGCCUGAGGGCACGUACCACCAGACUUAAGGACAGCUUCUACCCCACUGUGAUAAGACCAUUGAACGGUUCCCUUAUACAAUGAGAUUGACUAUGACCACAUGAUCUACCUUGUUGUGACCUGGCACCUUAUUGCACUGCACUUUCUCUGUAGCUGUGAUACUUUACUCUGUACUGUUAUUGGUUUUACCUGUACUACAUCAAUGCACUCUGUACUAACCCAAUGUAACUGCACUGUGUAAUGAAUUGACCUGUAUGAUUGGUGUGCAAGACAAGUUUUUCACUGUACCUCGGUACAAGU